rnacentral:rRNA from 1 species
UACGUAGGUCGCAAGCGUUGUCCGGAUUUACUGGGCGUAAAGAGCGCGCAGGCGGCUGGUCAAGUCCGAUGUGAAAUCUCCCGGCUCAACUGGGAAACUGCAUCGGAAACUGAUCGGCUUGAAGAUGGGAGAGGGUAGUGGAAUUCCCGGUGUAGUGGUGAAAUGCGUAGAUAUCGUGAGGAAGACCAGUGGCGAAGGCGGGUCUCUGGACAGUUCCUGACACUGAGGCACGAAGGCCAGGGGAGCAAACGGG